UCCAAGUAAGGAGUUAAUCGACUUAAAGUCAUUAAAGCGUCAAAGGACGGUGGCAAAAAAUAGUAUUUUGCGAAUAAAGACGGGCCUUUUAGAAAAAACCAUGUCGUUAGAUCCAAUUGAAUUGGAAUGUCGGCUCGACAUAUUAAAUUCACAUAGCGAAAAGCUAAUGAAAUGCCAAUCUAAAAUUGAAGAGAUUGAUGAAGACGACAUGGCCCGAGGGGAGUUAGAGGACAUAAUUGUUGAAACGAAAUCAAUAAUUACAAAUAUUUUAGCCAAAAAUAGAACGUCAAUUGCCGAAACAUCUUUCGUAGCUUCUUACAGCUCAAGACUCCCUAAAAUGAAUUUGACGAAAUUCAAGGGAGAAUAUUCAGAAUUUUAUAACUUUAUGAGUUUGUUUGAGAGCUUGGUUCAUAAUGAUCCAAAUAUCCCAGAUAUAGAAAAUUUUAACCAUUUGGUAAAUUGUCUAUCUGGAGAGGCUCUGGGAACAGUUAAAGCGUUUCAGAUGUCGGAUGAAAAUUAUCCGAAAGCGUUGGCAAGUCUCAAAAAAGUUUACGAUAAUAAGUGCUUGAUAUUUUUCAAUACAAUAUCUAAACUUUUUGAGCUGCCAACCAUUCCAAAGCCAUCCGCGCCUUCAUUGCGAUCAAUGAUUGAUGAAGUGUCUGCUGGUUAUGACUCUUUGCUAUCUCUGGGCGAUGAGAAGCAAAUAACAAACGCCAUUAUAAUACAUAUAGUUAUGACAAAAGUUGACUCUGCCACCCGAUCCAAGUGGGAAGAGCAACUUGACUACGAUCACUUACCAUUAUGGAAGGAUUGCGAAGCAACUUUAAAUAGAAGAUUUCAGCAGUUAGCAGCGGAAGGAGCAUCUUGUUCGAGGACGAAAUCCGGAGCCACAACCAGCAUGAGCCACAUGAAGCAGCCACACAUGGACAGGACAAAAUCAGCUUUAGUUGCUGCAGAGGCAAAGCAGCCAACUUGUCAAAAAUGCAAGUCAAAGGAGCAUCCUUUAACUGUCUGCCCCACUUUCGAGGCGCUUCCGGUACAACAGAGUUCCCUGCUCGCGCGCCAUGAAAUUUCUCAAGCGUUUUUGAGAAUUAAAAUUGUUCCGGGAUGCGUGUUAUUCAAUAUUUUUAAAAUGUUCACUUGAUGAACUUUUACCAAUUGCUUGUACCGGACACUUGAUUUGCGGAAAAUUGCGACGGCGAGAUUAGCGAGAAAGGAAAACGCGUGCGGAUUCGAAUGCGGCCUAAUUACAAUUAUUUCUUUAUUCUAGUUCAUCUAGUUGCUUAGCCUAAAUCUUAAAACUAACGGAAUAAAACAGUUGGAAUGGAAGUAUACAGGUAUGUACAAAAAGAGGUGAGUAAUUAAUUUUUUAUAGUAAUAGAUUAAGGAUAUUCCAAGCGAAGCCAGGUCCUUCUCCACUUGGUCCUUCCAACGGAGUGGAGGUCUUCCUCUUCCUCUGUUUCCCCCGGCACGGGGUUGUUAACUCGGCUAUAAUCGCGUAAGCGGUGUCUACGCCAAUUAAGAAGAAGAAUAGAUUAAGGCUUACUACUUCAGUGAAUCUACCUACAGAGUUUAUACAUUUAUAUAUCAGCAAUUGCAUUUCUACAUGUGAAACGGUUAAGGACAAAUAUAUGCAGUCACGUCUGGUGCGUUUAGUUUGUGUUUUUUUGCAGUCACUUAUAAGGAACAAAAUAAUUAAUGUCAAGUUCAUCUGAUUCAGAUGAAAAACAUCACCAAAUAGCAACAAGGUCCAGGAUUCGUGCUUAAAGUAAUCCCAUGGCUUUACCUGAAGCAGCAUUCGGAAAGUUUAGACUGACCAAAGAAGCAUUUACUUUCAUCCUAUCGGAAAUAGAAUUUAACGGGCUGUACCACCAAUUCUGCAAUUAGCAGCGACUUUGUCCCUUUUGGCGAGUGGAGGCUAUCAACACUCAGUUGGAAACGACUUUUUAAUUGGAAUGUAUCCAAGCACAGUAUGUAAAAUUGUAGGGGACGUAGUUAAUGAAAUGGAAACAAAACCUUGUCCACAUUUCAUUAAGUUUUCGCCAAACCGUUUAUCUAAGGGCACAGAAUACUUUGUUGAGAAAUAUAAAGUUCCAGGAGGUAUGUUUGUCGACUAAAUAUAGAUGCUAAAAAUAAAUAUACAAAUGUAUAGUUAUCGGAUGUAUUGAUGGUACACAUUUUGGUCUUCAAAAACCAACUGUGAAUGAACAUAAGUUUUUCAAUAAAAAUGAUACCACAGUUAUCAUUCAAUGAUAGUAAGUCGCAUAUACGCAUGGAUGUACUCAUAAAUACAUAGCAUAUGCAUUUACAUAUAUAUUUGGAUUUGUAUGGAAGCAUUCUGCGGAGAGGAUGUUUUUGGAGGAAGCAUAUAAUCAAAACAAUAUGAGAAAUGUGUGGCUUUUGGGUAAUAUAUGCACUUAUACAGCUGCAAAAUAUAUUUACAGAAAUACAUAUCUACGUAUUUUCUCAAGUAACAGAAGAUUCUGGAUAUCCUUUAGAACCAUGGUGUUUGACACUGUUGCGUCAAGCGACAUCCUUUAAAAAUAAAUACUAUUUUUAAACAUAAUACUAAACGAAUGUAUAUGAAUUAAUUUUAUAUUAAAUAUUUAAAUUAAAAUGUUAAAAUUUAUAUUAUAUUAUACUCACCCUAAUAAUACUGUUUAUAUACUCACCAUAAUUUUCUACCAUAAUGUAACGAAUUGAAUUCUACUUACCCCUUUUUUAUAAAUACAUAUUUACGCGUCCCGUUAGUUUAAGCCGUUAGGUUAAGGUUUAGGCUAAGUCAUAAAAUUCCUGAAAUAAAGAAUUCAAUUGUGUAAGAAGAACA